CGCGCCUGCCUUGCCCGGUCCGCCCUGUCUUCCAGCAGGGCGGGGCCCGGCUCCGGUUGUUCCGCCACGUUUGAGCGGGCGAGCCCGGCGGCCGGGAGACGCCAGGGAACGGGGCUGGUGGGGGUACAAAGGCUCGGUUCCGUCGCCUUCAGCCCUGCGGUGGGGGCACGGGGCAAGUGAGGGGACGGCAGAGGCGGCGUUCGGUGUGAGGCUGCGCCCUGGGCUCCUGAAAAUCCAGGGCUGCAGUCAUUUGAAGGCUUGACUGGGGCUGGAGGAUUUUCAUCCAAGAUGGCUCACUCACCCAGCUGUUGGCAGGAGACCUCGGUUCUUUGACUUCUCCGUAAGACUGUAGACAGAGCUGCCCCGUGUUGCCCAGGCCGGAGUGUAGUGAUGCGAUCUUACCUCACUGCAGCUUUGAGUUCCUGGGCGUGGCACAAGCAGUUCUUGAACUCCUGGCCUCAAGCGAUCCUCCUGCCUUGGCCUCCCAAGCUGCUGGGAUUACAGGCGUGAGCCACUGCACCCAGCUGGAAUGCACAUUCUAAGUUACAAGAUCAAAUAACAAGGGAAAGAAGACUUGAUUAUGUAUACACACACAAAAAGAAAGUGUUAUCAAAACUGACAAGAAAAAGUAAGUCAAGGUACUUAAAGUAGUGCUGGAAGUUAUAAGGUAAGGUGGGGAGAAAAGAAGAAAGAGGUUGGGCGUGGUGGCUCACGCCUGUAAUCCCAGCACUGUGCGAGGCUGAGGUGGGCGGAUCACGAGGUCAGGAGAUCGAGACCAUCCUGGCUAACACGGUGAAACCCUGUCUCUACUGAAAACGCAAAAAAAAAAAAAAUUAGCUAGGCAUGGUGGCAGGCGCCUAUAGUCCCAGCUACUCGGGAGGCUGAGGCAGGAGAAUGGAGUGAACCCGGGAGGUGGUGCUUGCAGUGAGUGGAGAUCACGCCACU
rnacentral:lncRNA from 1 species